GAUCCUGGCUCAGGAUGAACGCUGGCGGCGCGCCUAACACAUGCAAGUCGAACGGCACCUGCCCUCGGGCAGAAGCGAGUGGCGAACGGCUGAGUAACACGUGGAGAACCUGCCCCCUCCCCCGGGAUAGCCGCCCGAAAGGACGGGUAAUACCGGAUACCCCGGGGUGCCGCAUGGCACCCCGGCUAAAGCCCCGACGGGAGGGGAUGGCUCCGCGGCCCAUCAGGUAGACGGCGGGGUGACGGCCCACCGUGCCGACAACGGGUAGCCGGGUUGAGAGACCGACCGGCCAGAUUGGGACUGAGACACGGCCCAGACUCCUACGGGAGGCAGCAGUGGGGAAUCUUGCGCAAUGGGGGGAACCCUGACGCAGCGACGCCGCGUGCGGGACGGAGGCCUUCGGGUCGUAAACCGCUUUCAGCAGGGAAGAGUCAAGACUGUACCUGCAGAAGAAGCCCCGGCUAACUACGUGCCAGCAGCCGCGGUAAUACGUAGGGGGCGAGCGUUAUCCGGAUUCAUUGGGCGUAAAGCGCGCGUAGGCGGCCCGGCAGGCCGGGGGUCGAAGCGGGGGGCUCAACCCCCCGAAGCCCCCGGAACCUCCGCGGCUUGGGUCCGGUAGGGGAGGGUGGAACACCCGGUGUAGCGGUGGAAUGCGCAGAUAUCGGGUGGAACACCGGUGGCGAAGGCGGCCCUCUGGGCCGAGACCGACGCUGAGGCGCGAAAGCUGGGGGAGCGAACAGGAUUAGAUACCCUGGUAGUCCCAGCCGUAAACGAUGGACGCUAGGUGUGGGGGGACGAUCCCCCCGUGCCGCAGCCAACGCAUUAAGCGUCCCGCCUGGGGAGUACGGCCGCAAGGCUAAAACUCAAAGGAAUUGACGGGGGCCCGCACAAGCAGCGGAGCAUGUGGCUUAAUUCGAAGCAACGCGAAGAACCUUACCAGGGCUUGACAU
rnacentral:rRNA from 1 species